AUUCCCACGGACCGCCAAUUUUUCGACGGAAGUAACAGUAAAGAUACUAAAUUCCGGGACAUUUUACCCAUUAUAUCUUUAUUCAAUUUUUAAUGGACUGUCAAGUUUUGAAUCACAGGAUUUGUCUUCGUACACAGUGCCUGCCUUGCCGCAUUUCAUUGUCAACAGUAUAUCAUCAAAUGGCUUCGUUGUGGGUUUUAACGAGACGCAAACAAAUUUUCUCUGGUGGAAUAUAAUCGGUAUUGAAGAAACUUCAAACAAAGUACCACGAUCUAGCCUUUCUUACAAGUUUGAAAACCUGCUUUCGGGUCAUCAAUACGAUCUCGAAAUAUAUUCUGAAGUUGAUGGUUUUAUUUCUUUGAAGAACUAUUCAGAAACCGUCACCACUUUGCCUUCAACGCCUUCGCUGCUUGAAUUCCCGAUCGAAUAUGUAAAAGAGAAAAGCUUCAAGGCGAACAUCACAGUGCCAAAUACUAGGUUCGACAAUCUGAGUGUUAAAAUCUGUGAGGAUUUGGAACAGUCCACCUGUUUCACCA